GGACAGAAAGACCCUAUGAAGCUUUACUGUAGUUUGGAAUUGGGUUCGGGCUCUUCUUGCGCAGCCUAGGUGGGAGGCUAUGAAGAUAAACUUUUGGGUUUAUUGGAGCCAACAGUGAGAGACCACUCUAGAGGAGCUAGAAUUCUAAUGGCGUUCCUUGAAGCAGGACGCUUGACAGUUUCAGAUGGGCAGUUUGACUGGGGCGGUCACCUCCUAAGAGGUAACGGAGGUGUGCAAAGGUUCCCUCAGGCUGGACGGAAAUCAGCCGUAGAGUGUAAAGGCAGAAGGGAGCUUGACUGCAAGACCUACAAGUCGAGCAGGGGCGAAAGCCGGCCUUAGUGAUCCGACGGUUCCGAGUGGAAGGGCCGUCGCUAAACGGAUAAAAGUUACUCUAGGGAUAACAGGCUGA
rnacentral:rRNA from 1 species